UAUUCUGCCCUACGGGGAAGGAUGAGAAGCUUCGACUAAGGUUCGACUCGAGCGUCAGCGAGAGAACGUUGCCGCAGGCA
rnacentral:sRNA from 1 species